CUUUGAUGAUAGUUCAGGAAUGAAAGAGACAAAACCAAUAGAGAAGAGGCCAUCUCAGAAUACAGUAAGAAGGUGACCCUAUAAGCCAGGAAGAGAGGCCUCACCAGAAACUAAUCCUGAUGGCGUCUUGACCUUGGACUUCUAGCCCCCAGAAAUGUGAGCAAAUAAAUGUAUGUUGUUCAAGCCACCCAGCCUGUGGUAUUUUGCUGUGGAAGCCUGAGCUGAUUAAUUAUUAUAGUAAAAAGAACGUGGCCUCUGAACCAAACAGAUGCGACUUUAAAUCCUAGCUCUGUCAUUCAUUAGUUGUAUCUUU
rnacentral:lncRNA from 1 species